rnacentral:rRNA from 1 species
AUUGAACGCUGGCGGCAGGCCUAACACAUGCAAGUCGAACGGUAACAGGAAACAGCUUGCUGUUUCGCUGACGAGUGGCGGACGGGUGAGUCAUGUCUGGGAAACUGCCUGAUGGAGGGGGAUAACUACUGGAAACGGUAGCUAAUACCGCAUAACGUCGCCAGACCAAAGAGGGGGACCCUCGGGCCUCUUGCCAUCGGAUGUGCCCAGAUGGGAUUAGCUUGUUGGUGGGGUAACGGCUCACCAAGGCGACGAUCCCUAGCUGGUCUGAGAGGAUGACCAGCCAGACGGGAACUGAGACACGGUCCAGACACCUACGGGAGGCAGCAGUGGGGAAUAUUGCACGAUGGGCGCAAGCCUGAUGCAGCCAUGCCGCGUGUAUGAAGAAGGCCUUCGGGUUGUAAAGUACUUUCAGCGGGGAGGAAGGGAGUAAAGUUAAUACCUGUGCUCAUUGACGUUACCCGCAGAAGAAGCACCGGCUAACUCCGUG